rnacentral:rRNA from 1 species
CCUACGGGGGGCAGCAGUGGGGAAUAUUGCACAAUGGGGGGAACCCUGAUGCAGCGACGCCGCGUGGGUGAGGAAGUACUUCGGUAUGUAAAGCCCUAUCAGCAGGGAGGAAAAUGACGGUACCUGACUCAGAAGCCCCGGCUAACUACGUGCCAGCAGCCGCGGUUAUACGGAGGGGGCAAGCGUUAUGCGGAUUUACUGGGUGUAAAGGGAGCGUAGACGGCUUACCAGGCCUGAUGUGAAAGGCCGGGGCUCAACCGCGGCACUGCAGCGGGAACCGGCAGGCUGGAGUGCGGGCGGGGCAAGCGGAAUUCCUGGUGUAGCGGGGAAAUGCGUAGAUAUUAGGAGGAACACCGGUGGCGAAGGCGGCUUGCUGUAGGGUAACUGACGUUGAGGCUCGAAGGUGUGGGGAGCGAACAGGAUUAGAUACCCGGGUAGUC